ensembl:lncRNA
UCGAGUCAAUAAAAGUUUAUCGUUUAAUGUUUGUCAUUAAUCAUGAAUCCACAACACAGCAGUUUGUUUAGUGAGUAGGAAAAACGUGAGUAUUUACAUCUACCAUCAUACACGUCACAGUUUAUACCCAUGCUAACACAACAAAGACUUUUAUAUACAAGAAAUACUAUUAGCGUCGUCAUACAAAGGAGCGCCAUCGUUGGAACUAUCUAGAUUUGUCAUUGAUGCAAAAUACACAAAAUCAUAAUAAACGUCUCCUCAGCUGCCCUGAAGUGAUCGGGAUAAUUCGACAGAAUGAACUUGGAUCGCUGUGGACCGGGUUUAAAAACUGGUUUACAUCAGAAAACACGAGGCGAGACGAUCACAGUCUACGUGUAUACGAGGUUUGCCCUUCAUGCCCGCGAUAAAUACGCCCUCUCCUCGUUUAUGUACAAAGAAAUCAACGCGUCUCCUCCGUGAGCUCCGUCGGAUUUCCCUCCACGCUCCUCCUUCUAAAGGAAACACAGACUGGGUGGGGUCAGUGGUUUUAGUCUCACACAAAACUUACUUUCUUUUAAAAAAGCACCAAACUACUUUUAAUUUUCCUGCCAUCCGACACGUUCAAGCCAAAGAACAAAAGAAUGAACCGAACGUCCUACAAACAAACCUCUGAUUUGCAUAGUUCAUCUUCACCUGCUUCGAGUUUGAUUCACUGAAAUCUGAACACUUCAUCGCUGCAGACCGAGUAUGCAGGACCGUUUGUUUAAAGCAAGAGUUCACAGCAAAAUCAAAGAUGUCAUUUUAACUGUGGUAACCGUAGUAACCAUUUACACAUCUCUUUUGUUUUGGUGGGAAUGACCCAGUUUUGGAGAUAUUAGGUGCAGAGAUUUCUGCCUUCUUUCUUUUUACUGUCUACAUCCGCCAGCCAAAGGAAAAUGCAGCCAGGUCUCUCUUUAGUGAGCAAAUAAUUAAUAUAAGCUGGUCAAAGUAGGCUGUCACUUUACAUAAAAGAUGCCGUACCCACCAGCGAGGUCGUCCCGUUGGAUAUGAAGGAUGCUGCACAUUCAUAUAGCAGCAACUUGUCAAUUACACCCUGGUUUAUCCACUUGUUUGCCUCCAAUAGAACGACAGCUGAUAAAAUUAAAGUCCUGCCACUAGUGAGACUCAUCAGGUAAAUAUUUACUGAGGUCAUAGUUCAAGCUGCGGGGGUUGUUUUCUCAGACUUUUUUUGCAGGACAAACAGUUGCCCCCUAGUGGCCACUGGAAAGAACGCAACUUCCAGCUUUGUUUUAAUUUUCAGAUGUGGAAGCUACAGCCAUCCUUUAUAUACAGGCCCAAUCCCAGUGUCCAAUCACAGGACGAAACAGACUGUUACCGGGAUAAGAAACAAAAGCACCAGAAUAAAACUGUAACGCAACAAGCACAAAGGAGCAACGACACAAAAGGCAAAAGAAAAUCUAUGCACGUGUGAUUGCAGCAUAUGCAUGUAAAGUAGGUUUAGUUCAGGGAGAAGAAAAUAGUUCCCACAUGAAACAUCUUCAAUAGGUUGUUGCUUCUUCUUUAUUUCUCAGUAGCUGAUCAACGAUCUCAGAUUCUCAGUUUAGCUCAGGUAUAUUUAAAAGACAGCAGAUGUCAAAAUGUUCUAAAAGGAUGAACAGAACUAAAAAUCAGGAGAAAAUAAAGUACAUUUAAUUCUGCUGUGAACUUUUCUUUAGUAAACUGUUGUGUGACUUCUCUCUCUCCCUCUGGUGUAAUUCGAUCCUGAUAUAACACACACUCUCUCACAAACUGCCGUAACAGCGCACACCUUCAUUGUUGCAGUUUCUCGUUGCUGAAAAGCUUCUCUAACCUGCCUGCGUCAUGUAUUUACAGCAUCCCCGCUCACAGCUCUUUGUAGGCUCAGAAGGAUCAAACAUAAACGGGUCAGCACGACUGCACACGGAGCUUUACAGAUAAACAAACACACAGAAUGACAGAAAAGUGAUAAAAAAUUCAACCUUCCAGUGCGUUAUGUGAACUGGAGGUAAAGGUUGCAGGAAGAAAAAGCAAUAAGGUGAUUUCUAAAUCUGGCUUUGUAUAAACGUAUACAUAUUAAUAUCAAUCUUCAUGUUUUGCAAAGGCAACAAGCAUAACAGAUGUGCUGUGAGAAAAACUUUGAGAGCACUCAAAGCUGUUUAAAACAGAGGUAACAUCAUAUGUUGUUGGCAUAAACACAAAGGCGUCAGUGCGAGUCUGUAACAACUGUUUAUAUCGCUGUGAAUACACACAGCGCAUGAAUCCACCAUCAGCUGCACUGAGUGUUAAUAUGGGUUUCAGUUUCAACAGGACAACAAUCAACUCGAACUCUUCGCACAAGGAUGAAAGAGUUGAUCAUUUAGGGAAUAAAUGAACUAAAAUGAUUUUAAAUGAAAUUUAUAACUAAAAGUAGAAGAAGAGAGAAGCUAAAGAUCUAAAAACAGACAGGUUGAAGGAGGUAACUCGAGCCGUGCUGCAUAAUUCACCUGUAACAUCAUCAGUCAGUUCACCAAACACCCGACUUCAUGAAUUCAGCAGUUUUCUGCAAACUGUCCGGGCUGUGGUGCAGCCUCUGUGUGAGCCGCAGGACAGUUUCAUGGCUUUAACUUUUAUAAGUGGGGAAUAAAGAGACUGGAAACGCUCACCGGACACAGAGCACCACUGAAAGUCCAGCUCUGAACUUCCACUGAACAUCUUUAACCAUCACUGCUUCACUCGUAUGUUUAUGGUGGAGAAUUCAAGCAGCGGGCCCGUAUCACUGCUCACACAGCUCACGCCAUGCGUCGCGGCAGGAAAUGCACAUGUGCAACAACUGUCUGAAUGAUGGCUGUUGUUCCAUGUAGCUUACUGGGUCAGUGAAUGCAGCAGACACGUUCACUGAGUGAAUGGGUUAAAUGCAGAGAGGGAUUUUCCCCACGGGGACCAAUAAAGCACACUUUCUUUCUUCUUUCUUCUGACAUUACAGGAGCUGAAUAUUUAAAGUGGACCCGCUCUGCUCAUUUCGAGCUCUAUAUUUUGAUGUUUGGACUCUACCAGAGGAGCUUUGUAUGACUCAUAGUUAAAAAUAACACUGCAAAGUGUCUGAAACAAGCUGCUUCAGUGCCCGUCUCUUUAGACUGGCUGCUCUUUGUAAACAAAACUAUGGUUGUGUUUACUGCGCACAUCCAUCCUGGUGUGACAGAGUCAGAAAAUCCAGAACUGGUCGACUUUAGUAACUCCUGAAAAUGAUUUAAUGGAUGAAGUAAAGUCUGUGAUGGUUCUAAACGUGCAGACGCACUCACACACAGUCUCGUCGUUUCACUGAAAACAAACCUUCAGCUUCUCUAAAGCAGAGAAAGCCAUUCGAGGCAGAGUGCGCACUCAGGUCGCUAAUCCUUAAAUCUAAAAUGUCUCAACCUGACUCACUUUUUCAUCGACAUAUUUUUAUGUGAUGCCUAUAUUUACUUAUGCAUGUGUCCCCUAUUUUAUUGUUUCUGCUUUCAGCCGUUUAUGUAGACAAUGUUGAUUUGAUUUAUUUCGUCGUUGUUCUCUGUCUUAACUUUCAAUUCGUCCCAUCUCGCUCUUCGAUGUCCAGCUUCCUGUUGAAAUGUAUUUUUCUAUUUUUGCCUUUCUGUCAAAGCACUUUGCAAAGACAUCGUGUUAUUAUUAUUUAGCCUCACAGGGGAACAGUUCUGUGUUGGAUUUAUCUAAAUGUAGCUGGGCUUAAGUUCGAAACUACUAACUACAGAGCCACCAGCCAUCAUCACCAACACAAUAUGACACUGAAUCAGGAUUCUGAGUUUUCUGCACCUUUAGGAGGAACCAAAACAGGACAAAGCUCAAACACAACGAUCAGCUUCACCAUGCAAAAUGUGAGAAGAUGAUCAGACACCAGGCAGAGCACAACGAGGAUUUCAAAUAGCCAUGUGAGCUAACGGCUGUUCAACCUAAAAAAGGGGGCGAAGUGAUCAGGAUGACAGUCUGCUCGCAAUCUGAGUGCUAAAUGUAAAAAGAAUAUUUAAAACAAAACACUAAAGUACAAAAGUAUGACCCUUUGCAGUACUUUUACACGUCUACUACUAAAUCCUGCUGAUUCAACAUCCUUGGUGUUCAAAGUGGUUUCCUAGACUACAAAGACAUCAGUGCACAGUACAGUAUUUCUCCAGUGCUUCCAGUGCUUCACCUCACAGUCUCUGUUCAGUGAAUGAACA